ACACAAAGAAGGAGGAUGUGGUGGAAGGAAAAAUUGCAAGACAUUCUAUGCUGAUUUUGUUAGAUUUGUGUCCUAGAAGCCAAUUGUCUCUAAGUGUGCAAGUGGGAUAAAUGAAAGAAUGGGUGCCAUCUACUUUCAUUUUUGGCAGGAACUGGAUGCCAAAUAUCAAGAUAUUACAAGAGGGGCCUGCCCCCUCUUAUAUGGCAUGGCAUGGAG
rnacentral:lncRNA from 1 species